CUUGCAUAUAGGGAGAUAUGAAAGGGUCGUCAGGAACUCUGGUUGCGUCGGUGCUGGCGGCGUCCACUGUUGCUCUAAGCUCUUCCACCUCUUCCUCCGGCAGAGAUCGCCAUGCUGCUGUUUUCUAUCCUUCCUGCAAUGAGAUUCAGGGAUUUUCUUCCUUCUCGGGGAAAAACAAUGCACCCAAGGAGAAAUUCACGCCCAGAUUCGACGGAUUGAGGUUCAUAGAGACGUUGGUGACAGCCCACAGAUGACCUGCAAGUUGCGUCCUUUUUUUUUUUUUUUUUUUUUUCCAAUUGUGGUGUGCGGUUAUUUGUUUGGGUAAAAUAGGGAGGCCCUUAACUAGUAUUUGAGGUGUAAUCACAGAGACAUUUUCGUUCGUUUUGGUUAUUGAGUCGUUUUUACGAUCGAUUGGGUGUUUUCACAGCGACAAACGCUUUGUUCUGCAAUUUGUUCUGAAAAAAUAUCUAGUGUAUGAAUAUGAAGCGUUUUUUAACUCAUACCUUUACCAUUGAAUCAAACGGCAGUAUGCGCUUGCGCUUUUUUGGGUGUACAUGAAAGAGUCCUUGUAAUUGUUAAAUAUAUAUAUAUAUAUAUAUAGUAAAGGUUGAAUGAAUUUUGAAA